AUUGAACGCUGGCGGCAGGCCUAACACAUGCAAGUCGAACGAGUGGCGGACGGGUGAGUAAUGUCUGUGAAACUGCCCUAUGGAGGGGGAUAACUACUGGAAACGGUAGUUAAUACCGCAUACCAUCGGAUGUGCCCAGAUGGGAUUAGCUAGUAGGUGGGGUAACGGCUCACCUAGUCGACGAUCCCUAGGUGGUCUGAGAGGAUGACCAGCCACACUGGAACUGAGACACGGUCCAGAAUCCUAAGGGAGGCACGAGUGGGGAAUAUUGCGCAAUGGGCGGAAGCCUGAUGCAGCCAUGCCGCGUGUAUGAUGAAGGCCUUCGGGUUGUAAAGUACUUUCAGCGAGGAGGCGUUACUCGCAGAAGAAGCACCGGCUAACUCCGUGCCAGCAGCCGCGGUAAUUC
rnacentral:rRNA from 1 species